GUUACUUCGGUACAUCGGUGACAGGUGGUGCAUGGUUGUCGUCAGCUCGUGUCGUGAGAUGUUGGGUUAAGUCCCGCAACGAGCGCAACCCCUAUUGUUAGUUGCCAUCAUUCAGUUGGGCACUCUAGCGAGACUGCCGGUAAUAAACCGGAGGAAGGUGGGGAUGACGUCAAAUCAUCAUGCCCCUUAUGACCUGGGCUACACACGUGCUACAAUGGUUGGUACAACGAGUUGCGAGUCGGUGACGGCGAGCUAAUCUCUUAAAGCCAAUCUCAGUUCGGAUUGUAGGCUGCAACUCGCCUACAUGAAGUCGGAAUCGCUAGUAAUCGCGGAUCAGCACGCCGCGGUGAAUACGUUCCCGGACCUU
rnacentral:rRNA from 1 species